rnacentral:rRNA from 1 species
GAUGAACGCUAGCGGCAGGCUUAACACAUGCAAGUCGAGGGGUAGGAGAAGCUUGCUUUUCUGAGACCGGCGCACGGGUGCGUAACGCGUAUGCAAUCUACCUUUCACAGAGGGAUAGCCCAGAGAAAUUUGGAUUAAUACCUCAUAGUAUAAUUGAAUGGCAUCAUUUAAUUAUUAAAGAUUUAUCGGUGAAAGAUGAGCAUGCGUCCCAUUAGCUAGUUGGUAUGGUAACGGCAUACCAAGGCAACGAUGGGUAGGGGUCCUGAGAGGGAGAUCCCCCACACUGGUACUGAGACACGGACCAGACUCCUACGGGAGGCAGCAGUGAGGAAUAUUGGACAAUGGGCGCAAGCCUGAUCCAGCCAUGCCGCGUGCAGGAUGACGGUCCUAUGGAUUGUAAACUGCUUUUAUACAGGAAGAAACACUCCCUCGUGAGGGAGCUUGACGGUACUGUAAGAAUAAGGAUCGGCUAACUCCGUGCCAGCAGCCGCGGUAAUACGGAGGAUCCAAGCGUUAUCCGGAAUCAUUGGGUUUAAAGGGUCCGUAGGCGGUCAGGUAAGUCAGUGGUGAAAGCCCAUCGCUCAACGGUGGAACGGCCAUUGAUACUGUCUGACUUGAAUUAUUAGGAAGUAACUAGAAUAUGUAGUGUAGCGGUGAAAUGCUUAGAGAUUACAUGGAAUACCAAUUGCGAAGGCAGGUUACUACUAAUUGAUUGACGCUGAUGGACGAAAGCGUGGGUAGCGAACAGGAUUAGAUACCCUGGUAGUCCACGCCGUAAACGAUGGAUACUAGCUGUUGGGAGCAAUCCCAGUGGCUAAGCGAAAGUGAUAAGUAUCCCACCUGGGGAGUACGAACGCAAGUUUGAAACUCAAAGGAAUUGACGGGGGCCCGCACAAGCGGUGGAGCAUGUGGUUUAAUUCGAUGAUACGCGAGGAACCUUACCAAGGCUUAAAUGUAGAUUGACCGUUUGGAAACAGAACU